CAGCGGGGGAGGAGGAGGAUGAGGUAGCCAACACUGUUUAUAUAUAUGUAUAUAUAUAUAUUUUAAUUGGGGUAGCCCCCAAAAUAUUGGGACAUAUAAAAAAAGACAACUCUGUUCUGCAGAGUAGCUGUUGACAUUAUAGUUGCGCAGGCACUUUUUUGAACCUCGGGCAAAUCACACAUCCCCAUGGUGGCGACUUUGCAUGCGGAUGUCAUCCAUAUCAACUUUCGAUGCCAGUUUCUGCGCCUACCAUGGUGACCACGGGUAACGGGGAAUCAGGGUUCCAUUACGUACAGGGACCCUGGGAAACGGCUACCACAUGCAAGGAAGGCAG